rnacentral:lncRNA from 1 species
AUGGAAGAGCGAAAUAUCUUUUUGCUCUUCAGGAGCAUGCUCUCUGUCCCUACCAGAGGAGGCCCUGGCCCUAGCUGUGCUAGGGCCUUGAGGAAGAUUUUCUUCCUACCAGUCUCUUUGUGUCUUAGCAUCCAUCACUCAGGAUGCGAGGGCCAUAGAUGUCUCGGAAGCCCCAGGAGCCUGGAGCGCUGUGGGGACUAAAUCUCUCUGGGCAUUAACUCACGGGCUAGGCUGUUAUGGCCCCCUGUCCUUGGCUGCUCAGAGCAGAUUAACUGCUCCACUAAUCAGUGUGCACAGGGCAGACAGUCAGCAAGCGUGGGUUAUGGGGGGUGUCUGGUGUGUACGUGUCUGUGGUGUGCGUGUGUAUUGUGUAUAUGUGCGUAUGGUGUGUGUGUUUUGUGUAUGUGUUGUGUAUAUGUGGGGUGUAUGGUGUGUGUGGUGGAUGUCUGUGGUGUGUAUAUGUGUUUGUGUUUUGUGUACGUGUGUGGUUUGUGUAGGAUGUGUGAGGUGUGUGUGGUGUGUAUGUGUGGGGGUGUAUGUGGCAUAUAUGUGUGUGGUGUGUAUAUGUGCAGUAUAUAUGGUGUGUGUUGUAUGUGUGUGGUGUGUGCGUGGCAUGUGUGAUUGGUUGUGAGUAUAUGUGGUAUAUGUCUUUAUGGUGUGUGGGGGGUGUGUGUGUGGCAUGUGAUGUGUGUGUGGUGUGUGCGUGGUGUGUGUGUGGCAUGUGAGGUGUGUGUGGUGUGUGCGUGAGUGUAUGUGGUAUGUGUCUGGGGGCAUGUGUGUGGUGUGUGUUGUAUGUGUAUGUGUAGUGUAUGUAAGUGGUAUAUGUCUAUGUGGUGUGUCUGUGGGGGGGGGGCGUGUGUGGUGUGUGUGUGUGUGUGUGUAGUGUAUGUGUUGUGUAUAUGUCUGUGUGUUGUGUUGUGUGAUGUGUGUAUAUAUGCAUGUGGUGUGUGUUUUUUGUGUGUAGCAUGUGUUGUGCGUGUGUGGUGUGUGUCU